AGCGAACGCUGGCGGCAGGCCUAACACAUGCAAGUCGUACGAACCUUUCGGGGUUAGUGGCGGACGGGUGAGUAACACGUGGGAACGUGCCUUUAGGUUCGGAAUAACUCAGGGAAACUUGUGCUAAUACCGAAUGUGCCCUUCGGGGGAAAGAUUUAUCGCCUUUAGAGCGGCCCGCGUCUGAUUAGCUAGUUGGUUGAGGUAAUGGCUCACCAAGGCGACGAUCAGUAGCUGGUCUGAGAGGAUGAUCAGCCACAUUGGGACUGAGACACGGCCCAAACUCCUACGGGAGGCAGCAGUGGGGAAUCUUGCGCAAUGGGCGAAAGCCUGACGCAGCCAUGCCGCGUGAAUGAUGAAGGUCUUAGGAUUGUAAAAUUCUUUCACCGGGGACGAUAAUGACGGUACCCGGAGAAGAAGCCCCGGCUAACUUCGUG
rnacentral:rRNA from 1 species